ensembl:lncRNA
UCUGUCAGUUCCAGCAGUCCACAUCUGUCACUCCUUCCUCCUCACACUCUUCCCCUGCUCCAGAAUGGGGUCCUUCCCAUGGGAAGCAAUCCUUCAAGAACUGCUACAGCACGGGUCCUCUGUGCAAGGUACCAUCCAUAAACAGGAGACUGCUCCAGCAUGGUCCCUUCUGCAUGGAUACAGCUCCAGCCUGCUCCUGUGUUGGCUGGCUUCAGCUUCCUUCAGGAUAUCCACCUGCUGUGGCAUGGGUUCCUCCAUGGUCUGCUUCCAUCACCAUGGUCCUCUUCAUGGGCUGUCAAGAAAUGCGUGCUCCAGUGCCUAGAGAACCUCUUCCCCCUCCUUCUUCCCUAACCUUGGUGUCUGCAGAGUUUUCUCUCACAUUUUCUCAUUCCUCUCUCUCACAACUGCUGCAGAAUGUAUUUUACCCUUUCUUAAGUGUGUUAUCGCUGAGGUGCCACCAGCAUCACCAAUUGGCUCAGCUGUGGGCAGCAGUCAGUCACUUUUAGAGCUGGUUGGAACUGGCUUUGAUCUAAGAUGGGGCAGGUCUUGGCCUAUUCACACAAGCCACACCUGCAGCCUCCUGCUACCAAAACAUUGCCACAUAAACCCAAUAAAACUGGCCAAGUCAGGGCUGAUUCCUAAGUCCUGUCCAAUACUCAUGUAAAUGGAGGGAUAUCAGUGAGGGGUGGAGGGAGCAGAGCUAUAAUGCAGUGAUGAAAGUCUUCAAGGCUCAAUCUGCUUUCCAUCAAAACUGGUCUUCGUAUCAUCCACCCCCACACAAAGUGCUAACUUAAAAGGGAAAUAUAAAACAAAUCCAGCACAGAGAAAAUAAAAGGAUUUAGAUAUUAAAAAGGGAACUAAGUACUCAGAUUGAUGGUUUUUUGGGUCAGUGUGGCAAGAUGUUUUCAUUAGAGUUGAAUUCACCCAGCUUUUUUUGCCACCCCACGUCAGGUGCAUGCUAUUGCUGUGAUCUCAGGGCUGGCAAAGCCAGCCUGCCCAGGUAAUGAAUCUCACAGCUGAAUAACCAAAUGGCAGCCCAUCUAGACCAAACCCCCACUAAUCCUGAAAACAUUUUUUUUCUGCUUAGGGAGAGGAAUGAAUCAGAAUAUUUCAUGUUUUGAUUACCCUCCUUGUCUCUCUGUUACAGAGAGUGAGCCACGCUAUAAUUCAUAUUUUAAAUUCUGGUGUGAUUUUCCCAUGUUUCUGUCUGGAAAUCUAGCUGCAGACAUUAAAAUAUUUUGGUAGGAACCUGUAAAAAUUGCACUUAAGACGUACUGGUCCAAGCAAUGCCAAGGAAUGAUGCUACCUUGUGGCUGAGGAGGAAAAUCAGAUUUUCCCAUUUCCACAAGCUUAAAAAAGACUAUGGAGCUAUGCAUGGAAGAAACAAAUAUGUACAUCCCAGCUAAGCAAGACAAAGCUGCCCUUAAGCGAUGGCACAAAAGUUCAAUGAGAUAAUCACGUUAGCAUUACUGAGCUAGCCAUGCAUGUGAAGCACAAUACAGCUCCUAUUUCCUAUUUGUCUGCACUAUGAAUCUAAAAUAUUCAUAUUUUAUUGUCCUGCGUUGACAGCAGACUGUUAGAACAGAAGAAUGGCUGGCUUUCUGUCUGAAGUUACACGUCUUAUUUAAUGCAAGCUUGAAUGGCAAGCAGAAUUAAUCAGGUUCUCAACUCCACUUUGUAAAAGGUUAUUUGCAGUAACAGACCUUAAGCAGAGCUAGAGUUGGAAGCCUGGUGUCCUUUUCCUUGGCUUAGAUAGAUAUAUUCCACCUGCCUAAAAAAUCUUGAGGGAACUGAGCACUCAGCUCCUGCGCGGUUUCAGUAGGAUUUUAGUACUUAACCUGUAUUUAUUCCUCUCUGGAAUGCUUUGAGUCAAGCCACAGCGGGCACAGGGCCGCGGCCUGCUGUGGGCUGGCAGGGCCUUUCAGCCCCACGUACCCUAUGUCUGAGAGCGGCAUCCCAGCACUCCCUGAGCCUCAGCACUGGGGCCAUGCCCACUGCCCUGGGCAGGCUGUUCCAUGCCCACUGCCCUCUGGGGCACAGCCUUUCCCUAACCCACAGCUGACCCUCGCCGGACAUAGAAAGCCCACAGGAACAUCUAUGUUGUCUGUGUGGGUUUUGACUUGAGGAGCUGCAGCCGGAAGCCUGGAGAACUGAGCAUGGUGUAAGGCCCAGAGCAAUGCUGACUGUCACACCUGCCUCAAAAGGAAGCUGCACUGAAAACAAGCGACUUUCAAUAAAGGCUGUGCAUUCAUUUGGAAGUAAUGAAAACAAGCAGAAAGCAGCCGAGGAGCCCUUCUCGGGCUGCAUACCGCUGCUCCCUGCGGUCACACUGUCACCGCUCUCCCCUAGAACUGGGUCCCGACUGGACACAGCUGCCUGCCACAAGGCACUGUGACCCCAUGGAGAGAUGUGCGCUGAGGGACCCCACUGAAAUUCAUGAGUCAUAGAAGAAAAAAUACAUGGGGGAUUCUUUUCCAAUUAUUUUCCAACCCCUGAAGUUGGUGAUGGAGGCUGGUUUUCUCCCAGCGCCUUGCAGAGCUCUUAGACGCUUCAAGCGAGGAGGAAGCUCCCUGCUCUGGUGGUCUUCAAGGAGCAACAGCCAGUCUCCAUCCCCUUCAUCACAGCAGGAGCACUGUGGGCUUUUUUUGUCCACGUUUUCCAUGGGUGUUCCUGCCCCAUAGGCUCCCCUGUGAACUGACUGCCCACACUGCACAGUGGUGGCAACCCGCAGCAUUCAGUGCUCUUCCUUAACCUCUUCUUAGCAUUCAGGAAGCAACGCUGGGAGAGAGGAGGAGGAAAAAGGCUGAUUUUUGCACAGUCAUCAGAGUUACCUAAUGGUUUAUCGAUCAUGUUGCCAGGAAGGAAAUACCCCUAAAGAGCGGCAGUCUGCAUCUCUGAGGGUUUUAACCUCUUUUCAGUUAAACGUGAUGGCCAUUGUAUGAAGAUUGUGGCAGUCCUGGAAGGAUGGACAAUUCCAAUACUAUGUUCUAAAGAAAACAUAAAAGCAUUGAUUUUUUUUUAAGUGCAUUUCACAAGCUCAUUUCCCACCCUACGACCCAGCAAAUCAAAAGUCUUCCUCUCUCACCUGUAAUGAGUGAUGAGCUCAGCUCCCACAGCCUUCUUGAAAAGCCUUGUUGGAUCCCCCCAUGGCUUGGUUGACACCUUAUGUGUUUAAAUUAGUGCUUAAAGAGAUUACUUGGAGUUUAUUGCUCAUACCUUUGUCAUUCACUGGAUAUGCUCAUCCUGUUCUCUUUUUCGAAGCUGAAAUACAGCUUUGCCACUGCUGGGCAUUUGCAGCAGCAGGAUAAAAGCAGCAAGUUUUCCUAUUCUCAGUUUGCACUUUAUCGUCUUUCAUCGGUGCAAGCACACCAAAUCUGAAGUUUAGAAAUACAUUCACUAACAAUUUCUUCCUAUAGCAGAAACCCAAACUAUUAAGGCAAACUAGCAAUUAUUCUUCCACACUAACAUCAACAUAAAGCAGAUUAGAAGAAUUAAAUGCACAAGAGUGCAGUUCUUUUAUGAUUAUGUACUCUUAAUCUUCAGAAGAUGGUUAAUUACAUUUUAAGCAGCAUAAGAGCCCUAACAUAUUUGUAUAUUAAUAAAAAUUCUCACCAGGGGUUUAAAUCUAACAUGUAGUCACAGGUAUAACUAAUGGCAUUUUUCAGUAAUGCUGUGAAAAAAAUAUGCCUGUAAGUUAGUAGGUUCACACAGAAAACUGCUGGGAGUUUUUAAUUUACUCUCUAACUAUUCUCCUAAUCAUUCUCUUAUCAUGCUGGGAUGGCUAAAUGCAUACAGAUUAUAAUGAUGGUGUGCACCCUCCAUAGCAGUGUCAGCAGUGACAUUUGUCAGUGUUUGAAGUCAGGCUGCUGCAAUGAGAGCUCUGCAGCCAAGGGAAAAAGGGAAAUGAAGGGGGAUGAUGCUGCAGCCCUGCUGUUUCACCAGGACUUGUGUUUGCUAGUUUAGGGUUUAUUCCAGUUCAGAAAGUGAUUAGCCUCUAGCCAGCACAGGUCCAGACAUCUGUCUGUGAUUCAGAGCUUUUAGGAAUACUUGUUAACUGUGUCACACUCAGAGACGCUGAAGGUCCAAAGAGACUUCUUCCCUUGAAACCCUAAUAACUGAAGACAGAGACUAUCAUUUAUCCUGCUUCUGGCUCACAGGAAGCUGGAAUAGAAUCAGAGAAUCAUAGAAUGGCUUAGGUCAGAAGGGGUCUUAAAGCCCCCCCUCAGAUCAGGCUGCCCAGGGCGCCAUCCAGCCUGGCCUUGACACCUUCAGGGCUGGAGCACCCCUAAACACCAAGAGUUGAAGUGCAAUUCACAUUCUUUAUCCUGAUCUGCUCUUUGGAAAUUUCAAGUUCGGACAGUCCAGGAUUUGGGCUAGGCUUAAACGUAGUCUGAUGCAAGGCUGAAAUCCAUUUUGCUUCCCACUCUAGGCAGCUCCAGCAAAGCAGAUGAAAUGAGCUUUGAGUGGUCCCACUGCUGGGAAAGAGAGUACCAAAAUGGGAGGCAAAUGACCUCCUCCCAGCUUCACCCACUGGAUUCAUUUCAUCCACUGAUUCCAGAGCAGAGCAAGCUCAAGAGAAUGAGUAUAAUGGAGAAGGGGAAAAAGAGGAGCUGGUGAUGUCUCCUGUAAGCACAGAAGUCAAUGGGGACUGGCCUUACCUCGAGGAUCCAGCACUAAUGAGGAUGAGGAUGUUGCCCUUGGGCUCUCUGAGGACCUUUCCUCUUCUGGGCCUUUGGAUGAGCUGAAGCCAAAAGCCACUAUUGGAAAUAUGGGAAAUCACAAAGCAUCAUAGAAUCAUGAAUCAUCGAAUGGUGUAGAUUGGAAGGGACCUUAAAGACCACUGAGUUUCAACCUCCUACCAUGGGCAGGUUGCCCCCCACCAUCUCAGGCUGCCCAGGGCCCCAUCCAGCCUGGACCUGAGCACCUCCAGGGAUGGGACACCCACAGCUCUCUGGGUAGCAGUGCCAGGGCCCCACCACUCUCCAAAUAAGAAAACAUCCUUGGCCACAGAUUUGCCAUGACUUUGAGGAAGUCACUUCAUCUGACAUCAGCACCACAAGCAACGAAGCCCUCACUGGUAUUGCAUUAAUCUUCAAUCAAAACUUCACAUAAGGAUUACAGGAAUAAACUACUGCAGCAAGAGAAUAUUCUUCAUCUGGAUGACCCCUUUGUUCCACAAGUGUGCAUUAUCGGCAUUUUCACAUCUGUUCAUCACUUGGAGCAACUUUCUUUUGUCCCUUAGUUAGCUCAAGCAUCCACUUCCCCCUCCCAUGCUCCUCCACACCAUACAUUUUUUUUUAAAUCUAAAUACAUUUUCUAAAGUUUAUGACAUGCUGUGUAAUUAAAAUCAAGUUGGCAAAAAAAAAAAGAACUGUUUCAUCCACUACAGCUCUUUUCAUUCUAUAAUCCUCCAGCUGGAGUGCAGGUGGG